UCGGGAAUAUUGCGCAAUGGAGGAAACUCUGACGCAGUGACGCCGCGUGCAGGAAGAAGGUUUUCGGAUUGUAAACUGCUUUAGACAGGGAAGAAACAAGACAGUACCUGUAGAAUAAGCUCCGGCUAACUACGUGCCAGCAGCCGCGGUAAUACGUAGGGAGCAAGCGUUAUCCGGAUUUAUUGGGUGUAAAGGGUGCGUAGACGGGAAUGCAAGUUGGUUGUGAAAUCCCUCGGCUCAACCGAGGAAUUGCAACCAAAACUAUAUUUCUUGAGUGCUGGAGAGGAAAGUGGAAUUCCUAGUGUAGCGGUGAAAUGCGUAGAUAUUAGGAGGAACACCAGUGGCGAAGGCGACUUUCUGGACAGUAACUGACGUUGAGGCACGAAAGUGUGGGGAGCAAACA
rnacentral:rRNA from 1 species